GUACUUUCAAAAUUUCCAUGGGCCUUCAGGUUGAUUGAGAGAAUCAGCCCCAGAAUGAUCGCCAGCAUAAAACCAUCUAUGAAAAAUAUACUGUAGUUCCAGCUACUCAGAAGGCUGCGGCAGAAGGACUGAGACCAGGAGCUGGAGGCUGUAGUGCACUAUGAUCAGGCCUGUGAAUAGACACUGCACUCUAGCUGGGCAACAUGCUCACAGUGUCAAACCUGUUGGAGCCUGGAAGCAGCUGCCCAAACUCAGAAAGAAUGAAGGGAAAUAAGAAAAAGGGAAAACUGAAGUUAGGAGGAGAUUCAACGUAUCAAAGUAUCGUUUUAUGUUUUUGAGUGUGAUGGCUGUGGACACCUAGUGACUUAUCAGGAUAGUGGCACAAUGACAUCUAAGAAUUAUCCGGGGACCUACCCCAAUCACACUGUUUGCGAAAAGACAAUUACAGUACCAAAGGGGAAAAGACUGAUUCUGAGGUUGGGAGAUUUGGAUAUCGAAUCCCAGACCUGUGCUUCUGACUAUCUUCUCUUCACCAGCU
rnacentral:sRNA from 1 species